CCUGUUCCAGGAAUUCUGAAGCAGAGGAGGGCCUAGGAAAUGGCAGAGGAAGGUGACAGAAGAGGAUGUGGUCCUGGGGUGAUAAUGUCUGGGAAAACCCAGGCUAUUGUUCUUUACAGGCUCAGGAUGGGGAGCCUUGCAGCAUAGGGUCAGACAAAGCUCCCCUCUCUCAGCCACCCAGGAUAAAUUUUGCAAGAGGUCAACAUAUAACCUGCCUCUUUCCUUACACAGGGACACUCUCAGGGAAGGACUGUCUGUCUGCUGACUCUUCCCACCCACGGGAGAAGGGACAGAGGUGGUGUGACCGAGCCUCCAAGUGGCAGAGCAAGGCUGGAAGACUGCACCCAACAGAGAUGCCUGGGAGGAAAGGACUUUUGCUAUGAAGAAGUGAUGCGCGAGAUGCUGUGGCGAGAUUACCGCAGGUGGAAUCCCUAAAAGACCUCAGUUCAUCUAGUUGUGGAGGAGAGAGCCGGAGCUCUAGACAAGACACCAUCAGCAAAGAGGAGUCUUUCAAUAUAUUACAGCUCUCAUAAAGGCCUUUCAAGUGGCCAGCUAGAGAAACUGACAAUGGUAGAAGGCUUACAAGCAAUGAUGCAGAUAAUCUUCAGUGCCACCAGUAUAAAAGCUUUCAGGAAGAACGAAGCUUCCACUCAGGGAGAAGAAAAACAGAGGGCUCAGUCCUCAGAGCCUUCAAGAGGACUCAGGCAACCAGGACCUUGCAGGAUCAAGCCCCCAUGGACUGAACGAACAGUAACGUACCUUUUGAUCUUCUGUGAACUCUGAGUUGUUGUGUUGAGACUGGGCCUCUUUCUGUAGAUGUCUUGCUAAUCUGGAUGGGGAAAGAGGGGGGAGGAGUAUUAAAUAUUUUCUGUAGAUUGGGAACAACAUACUGAAUCCCAUGAUGCUAUCUUCAGAAAACAUGUUAGCCAGAAGUUUUGUAGACUGUUGUGCUUGCAUAUUCCUAAUAUUCAAAACCCUUAACUGUGGACAUUGUAUUGACAAACACAUGAUCACACCAGACAGUUAAAUGAGACGUACAGGAGAUCUACAAAAGGUAAGAGUGGGAUUGCAUCUUUUUAUGAUGUAUAAGGACCACCUAAAACUUUCUAAUAUGAAAAACAAACACAACUUUUAUUUAGAAAUACAGGUCUUGUCUACCCUGGAUAAUUCUGUAAUGACUAGAAAACUCCUGAAACUAAAGCAUCACAAGAGUCAAAGUAACAAUUUUUACUCUAACUUUAUUAACACCUAUUUAACUCUAAUGACAGACAUUCUGGAGAAGAGAUGUCUGUUGAAGAUUCAAUAUGCCAACUCCCUCAGUUAAGAUGACUGAUUAUCAAGACAAGAGGUCUUCCAGAAAAAGCAGAUUUUACAUCCCUGAGAGGUCUAAAGUAAAAACAAGCAAACACUUUUCAGAAGCACCUUUCAGGCCUCCUAUAUAUAAUAAAGGAGCAAAAUGAGGAUUUGUGCAUGUCAUAGUAGAAGGGACUGGCAAAAUCACUUGCUUAACAAAAGUGGUCUUCUCAUGAAGCUGGAGCAGAACUGGACUUGUUACAUUUGGGGAUACUUUAGACAACCUCCUGCCUUGAGAGCCCUCCAAUGAAGGUGGUCACUUGGAUAGGUUUCAUUGUACUUUAAAUAUCAAGUAUUAAAACAAGUUUAAUAUUAAUAUCUAUCAUUCAAUCAAAAGACUGUCACACUUUAGUGCAGAUACAACUGUGUAGCCCCUCAGAAUGCACUAUCAGAAAUUAGGAGACCAGAGUUCUUCUCUUGAAUUGACGACUGACUCACUGUGACACAUUGGGUAAGUCAUUUAACUUCUCUGGACCUCAGUUUCCCAAUUUAUCAAGCAAGGGCAGUAAUUACCAGUUUCUGCAAAGCACUUUGACCCUUGGCUGGAAAGCACCAAGUGCAAAAUAUGCAUUUAUUUGAUUUCAUCAUAUUUUAACAAAUUGGAUAUUGUUUAAAAUGCUAAUUUUCUUGAUAAAACUGAUAGAGUAAGGCUCAUAAAAGCCAAUGCCAUCUACUAAUGGGCAAGAAAGCAUUAACAGGUCUAUCCGCUAUCAUAAAGCAUGAGAGUCAUGUAAUUUAAUUAAGCCAAGGAAGAAAAAAGCAUUGUUACUUAUAUAGAAGAGAACUUCUUGGAAUCUGGGGAAUAGCCCUGACAAUACCAUACACAGGAGGACUUGAUUCUUUGAACGAGGGAGCACAUUUUGAACUUGUUCCCUCUCCAGUUUUGUGAGUGGCAUUUCUAAAUUUCCUUUAUUGUUAAUUUAAAAAAAAAAGUUAAAGAUACCCAAAGUGAGAACAAAACAUUCUGUUUGACCCGAAACAAGGUGGUUGGAGCGGGGUGAGGGUGGGGGCAUUUCUUUUUGCUAGGAAAAUCAAAAUAUUUUUGUUUUGGGUCAAUCUGAAAUGAUUUUUUUUUCUCCAGUUCAGCCAGAAAACUUAAAAAUCUAUUAUUUGCACAGCUCUGUUCAUUUACUAUUGGAGAGGGUGCCAACAUUAAUCCUAAUGGUGUUUUUGUUUAACUUAAUGCUUUUCUAAUGUGGCUAUUUUUACAGAUGUCACAUGUUAACAAGACCCUUACUCCCGCUACAGCUCAGUUUUCUCAUCUGUGAAAUGGGGACAAUGAUACCUACCCUCCUUUAUAAAACACUGAAAUCUAUGGAUGAAAACUCUAUAAGAGUGAAGUAUUAUUUUUAUAUGGAUGAACUGUUACUUUCCAAAAUCUUUUCAGAGGUUAAACUUUUAAUCCUGUUCUAACACAGCAACUGACAUCCCUCCAUUCUAAUGAGGUAAGAGGUAUUAGAGCACAGGUUUAUAAUUUCAAUUUGGAAACAAGAUGCAUGAAAAAGCUUUUAGAGGCAGUUUCCUCAAAGAUCUAUGGGAGAACAAAUAAACUCAUUACAAGUUUGCAAUAAGUUACUGACAAGGAAUUAUUGGGAUUGCAUUCCAUGUGAACUUGAAAUAGAAUCACAAACUUUCUUUUAAAAAAAUCCAAUACAUCAGCUCUUCUGAAGUUUCUGUGGAAGUAGAAUUACAGAAUUGGGUAUGAAAGGGAAAGGAAUCUCCCCCCACAACUGCUUAUCAUUCUGAAAGGUCAGUUAGGAAACUUUUUGGAGGAGAAAAACCUAGAGAAAUUCAAAAGCUCAUUCUUGAUUCAUCUCUCACAUGCAUACUGUACUUGCUAGUAAGGAAGACUUCAUUGGUACCAGAUUCCCAAAACCUUAGUUUUUGUAAAGUGUAUCUUCCUCAGUAAGAAACAUAAUAUUGAAAAGGCAAAACCUAGUUUUUACGGUAAACACCAAUCCUUCCACAAGUUCCAAUUUAAAAACUGCAUUUGGGAGGAGGGGGGAGAAUGGAUGACUCAGGAGAUUAGAAUUGGGAUGUAGUGACUUUCAUUGUCCUUCCAACCUUGGCUUAGGUCAUUUGUGACCAAAAAUUGCUAGCAUUAAAUGGCUGUUCAGCAAAGAGUCUGAUCAUCUCAGUCAGAUUCUCAGUGAAUCAGUUUAACACAAAACACCAUGCAAUUUAUACCAAGACACUCUUGUUGGCAGUCUCAGUAAAAAAUAUCCAAGGACUGAAUGGGCCCUGGAUCCUCUCACUCCUAGACAUGGUCCUUUCAGAACAGGGUUGAGAUACAUUGGCAGGAGAAUGUGUGGACGAAGCUUGCACUUUUGCUUAUUGUAUUGGUCCUGUUCUAGGAAUAAAGAGACUUGGGCUGUUAGUCCAAACACUAACACACACGGAACAUACCUGAACAUUGCAAAUGUGGUUUGUUAGUUAUUCUUGGAUUAUCUUUAAAAUUUUAAUUGCCAAAAAGAAAGGAAUAAGUCUAUAAACCACAUUGUCCUUUUCCUCCAUUCAGCAUCUACUUUCCUGAAUCAAGAACAUAAGAUUUGAGAGAGAGAUUGGAUGGAGGGUAUUUAAUUUAG